GGCGGACGGGUGAGUAAUGCUUGGGAAUAUGCCUUAUGGUGGGGGACAACAGUUGGAAACGACUGCUAAUACCGCAUGAUGUCUACGGACCAAAGUGGGGGACCUUCGGGCCUCACGCCAUAAGAUUAGCCCAAGUGGGAUUAGCUAGUUGGUGAGGUAAUGGCUCACCAAGGCAACGAUCCCUAGCUGGUUUGAGAGGAUGAUCAGCCACACUGGGACUGAGACACGGCCCAGACUCCUACGGGAGGCAGCAGUGGGGAAUAUUGCACAAUGGGGGCAACCCUGAUCCAGCCAUGCCGCGUGUGUGAAGAAGGCCUUCGGGUUGUAAAGCACUUUCAGAUGUGAGGAAAGGUUACAGAUUAAUACUCUGUAGCUGUGACGUUAACAUCAGAAGAAGGACCGGCUAACUCCGUGCCAGCAGCCGCGGUAAUACGGAGGGUCCGAGCGUUAAUCGGAAUUACUGGGCGUAAAGCGCGC
rnacentral:rRNA from 1 species